AACUUAGCAGAGAUGCUUGGUGCCUUCGGGAACUCUGAGACAGGUGCUGCAUGGCUGUCGUCAGCUCGUGUUGUGAAAUGUUGGGUUAAGUCCCGCAACGAGCGCAACCCUUAUCCUUUGUUGCCAGCGGCUCGGCCGGGAACUCAAAGGAGACUGCCGGUGAUAAACCGGAGGAAGGUGGGGAUGACGUCAAGUCAUCAUGGCCCUUACGGCCAGGGCUACACACGUGCUACAAUGGCGCAUACAAAGAGAAGCGACCUCGCGAGAGCAAGCGGACCUCAUAAAGUGCGUCGUAGUCCGGAUUGGAGUCUGCAACUCGACUCCAUGAAGUCGGAAUCGCUAGUAAUCGUAGAUCAGAAUGCUACGGUGAAUACGUUCCCGGGCCUUGUACACACCGCCCGUCACACCAUGGGAGUGGGUUGCAAAAGAAGUAGGUAGCUUAACCUUCGGGAGGGCGCUUACUACUUUGUGAUUCAUGACUGGGGUGAAGUCGUAACAAGGUAAGCGUAGCGAG
rnacentral:rRNA from 1 species